UACGAAGGGGGCUAGUGUUGCUCGGAAUCACUGGGCGUAAAGCGCACGUAGGCGGGUCGUUAAGUCAGGGGUGAAAUCCCGGAGCUCAACUCCGGAACUGCCUUUGAUACUGGCGACCUUCGAGUCCGGGAGAGGUGAGUGGAACUGCGAGUGUAGAGGUGAAAUUCGUAGAUAUUCGCAAGAACACCAGUGGCGAAGGCGGCUCACUGGCCCGGUACUGACGCUGAGGUGCGAAAGCGUGGGGAGCAAACAGG
rnacentral:rRNA from 1 species